AAUGUUGGCCGUUUGCCACAUGUUUUGGAUUUUUGUUGGAAAUGUUUCUUAAGCAAAUUGUCUUGUGAGUUAUUGAGAUUAUUCUUGUAUGACUAAGUGAAGUUGUAUGAAUGAAUGAUUGUAUUGAAUAUGAUGUUUAUCAUGAGAUGGGUAUGCUAUCUUACUUAGAAUGUAAGGAAUGCUUGAAUGGUGAAACUAUAUGUGAUAGUUGAUGUUGAAUGGUUAUAUGUUGGAUAUGAUAUUUGUCAUGAGAUGUUGUAUGUUCUCUUACUUGGGAUAUGAGAAUUGUUUGGAAUGGUGAAACUAUAUGAUAUAGUUGAUGUUGAAUGACAUUGUUGAUUAUUGAUAAUCAUGUUGAUGUGUGAUGGGAAUACUAUGAUUUAUUUGUGUGGGCAUGUUUUCUUGAUAAUGCAAUGUUGUGGAGAUAAUCAAUAUAAUUGGGUGUCGUCCUAUAUAUUGAGUUGAGAUUGUGAAUUGUUGUCGCAUUAUCGAGUUCUUACACAUGUCCAUGCAUCAUAGUCGUUGUUGCUGUAAAAGGGAUGACUCUUUUACUUCGAGAUUAUUGUAAGGCAGAGGUGAGCCUUACAUGCGAUGUUGACUUGUCCAUCGGAGGUGACGACCUUGUUGAGAUUUGGUACCACAUGCAUUUAUGUGUCCAUAAGUGCAUAUCAUAGCAUGAGUCUUAUGUGAAAUAUGUGAUUGGUGAUGAAUUGAGAUGAAUGAUUAUUGAUGAUGUUUGUGAUUGAUGUUUGUGAAUGAAUAUUUGUGAAUUGAUAAUUGUUCAUGAAUUAUGAUAAUGAUGGUUCAUGACUUUUGAUUGGUGAUUGUUCAUGAUGUAUAUGAUCAGUGAUUGUUCAUGAUGUAUAUGAUUGGUGAUCGUGUAUGAAUAACUGUGAAUUGAUAUUUAUUUAUGAUACAAGUAAUUGGUGAUUGUUCAUGAAAUAUGAUUAAUGAUUAUUCAUGAUAAACGUGAUUGGUGAUUGUGAAUGAAUAAGUGUAAAUUGAUAAUUGUUCAUAUGAUUGACGAAUAUUGAUGUGAGAUAUCGGGG
rnacentral:lncRNA from 1 species